UGUUUACCCCUCACUGUUUAUACCUAGGCAGGCAAACUUCCCUGGCGUCUGGGCCCACCCGCAGACAAGACAUAGAAAGAUACAAGAUUAGGAGCCCUGGAAUGCGUGUUCUCGCGGUGCACAUGGAGUGGGGGAGGAGCCAGGCCAGGGCUAGGGACCUAAAGUGCCCCCAGUCUCCAUCCGCAGCCCCAGCGGCCCCCUGCCCCUCUCCAGGGCGGGCUGGGAUGCUGGGUGUGGGCGUCUCUCCCUCCUCUUUCCCUCCCACCUGCCUCUCCUUUCUUUCCUGCCCUCAGCUGUCUCUUGCUGUCUCCCCCCUUUGUCUGUCUCUGCCACUCCCCUAUCUCUUUGUCUCCGUGUCCCCCCAUCCUUCCCCACCCCCAUCUCCCGCUCCCCCUCUCUCUCCCCCAUACAGUACUACGAGAUGUCCUACGGCUUGAACAUCGAGAUGCACAAACAGGCUGAGAUCGUCAAAAGGCUGAACGGGAUUUGUGCCCAGGUCCUGCCCUACCUCUCCCAAGAGGUAAGAGCCAGGGCCUUGGGGAGGGGUUGUGAGGGGGCCCCGCACUUGCCCAGCCCCUGUCCACUGCAGCCAUCUUGGGUGGUGUGCUGGGCGCCCCAGGGCACACGCCUCCCCUCUCUGGACCUCCCUGGCUCUGAACACCAGAGCCGGCCUGUGCAGAAGAAUCCCCGGGCCAGAGACACUCCAGGGGUGCAGGCGUGUGGGGGGCGGGCCUCACCCUGCUCUGGAAUUCCCAGCUGGAGUGAGUCAUGUCAUAGGUAGAAAUGUCAGAUGGGCCUAAACUGCACCAGGAAUGUUUUUUUCUCAUCUCUCUUCCUCCUUUCACCCUCUUGAGACAUCCUCCUCCAGGCCAUGCGGGCUGCACAGGACCAAGGACUAGAGGGUGUUAGGGGAUUGUGGGGGAAGGGGUAGCACAGGGUGGUCACACAUGGACACAGCCACACAGAUAGGCACGAGCACAUCAACACACGGGAGAUACACAGAUGCAGACACGGAUACACGUGUGUGCAGACAGCACAGGGACACGCAUGCAGGAAUGUGCAGCUACACGUGGGCACACGUGAUCCUGAGCACACAUUACCACAUGCACACACACACCCAGAUGAACCUGACGCCCAGCUCCUCUUCUCCUUUCUUGGGUUCUGAGGCUCAGGAUGCGAGGCCGCCCCUCCCCAGGGCCAUGUAAGGCCCAUCUCCUGUCCCUGCCAAGUUUACUGUCAAAAGUUUGUAACUUCCUCUUCAAUCCCUGUGGGUAUCUCAGGAUCCUUUGGGUGCCCUGCUUUGCCCAGGGACAAGUCUUAGCAGGACCCAAUGAAAGCCCUAGAGAAAAGGGCACUUGGAGCCCUUCAGAACAGAGGCUUCCUGGUAGCCAAGGCAAAAAGGGAGAUUGGUAGAUUCUAGCAUCUGCUGGCCACAGAGUCAGGUGUUUGGGGAGAGCUCAGGGAGGAACUGCCCUGAAUCUGAGCCCAUUCCCCAGCCAGCCCUGCCAGAAUUCAUUGGGCCCUCCCCAGCCAUGGUAGGAGAAGGGCUCAAUUUGGCCAGACUCAGGGCACAGUCUUGGAGCUCCUAGGAUCAGGACGUCCCUGUACAGUUGGGCAGGUUGUGUACUGCACAAACAUUCACAUGUUUCACAUCUUUGCAGGUGGCUGUGCACAUAGGAUAGGUCAGGAUCCAGGGUUUCUCCCGGGCUCACUCAAAAGCUGUUUCCUAACUACUUAGCACAAAACCCUUUUAAUUGUUUUCUGCACUUUUCCAUUUGUCUCUGUUGGCCAGACGAAGAGACGAGCUUGGUGAAAGGAAGCAGUUGGAGAGAGGGAGGGUGCUUUCUGAUGGGGUUGAAAACCACUGGGAGGAGCAGACAUGAUGGCCCACUUGGUAGUGGGGCUCCUCCUGGCCUCAGGGCCGUCCCCCUCUCCUCUCCCAGGAUCAGGAGGAAUCACUGCCUCUCCUCUCCCCCGACCCCCUUCCAGCACCAGCAGCAGGUCUUGGGAGCCAUUGAGAGGGCCAAGCAGGUCACCGCUCCCGAGCUGAACUCUAUCAUCCGAGUAUGUAUGGGGACCUGGGCGGGUGGGCGGGGGACAGGUGGGCCCCAGGCAGCUAAUGUUCCCCUCCCCCGCCCUGCAGCAGCAGCUCCAAGCCCACCAGCUGUCCCAGCUGCAGGCCCUGGCCCUGCCCUUGACCCCACUACCCGUGGGGCUGCAGCCGCCUUCGCUGCCGGCGGUCAGCGCAGGCACCGGCCUCCUCUCGCUGUCCGCGCUGGGUUCCCAGGCCCACCUCUCCAAGGAAGACAAGAACGGGCACGAUGGUGACACCCACCAGGAGGAUGAUGGCGAGAAGUCGGAUUAGCAGGGGGCCGGGACAGGGAGGUUGGGAGGGGGGACAGAGGGGAGACAGAGGCACGGAGAGAAAGGAAUGUUUAGCACAAGACACAGCGGAGCUCGGGAUUGGCUAAACUCCCAUAGUAUUUAUGGUGGCCGCCGGCGGGGGCCCCAGCCCAGCUUGCAGGCCACCUCUAGCUUUCUUCCUACCCCAUUCCCGGCUUCCCUCCUCCUCCCCUGCAGCCUGGUUAGGUGGAUACCUGCCCUGACAUGUGAGGCAAGCUAAGGCCUGGAGGGUCAGAUGGGAGACCAGGUCCCAAGGGAGCAAGACCUCGCGAAGCGCAGCAGCCCCGGCCCUUCCCCCGUUUUGAACAUGUGUAACCGACAGUCUGCCUGGGCCACAGCCCUCUCACCCUGGUACUGCAUGCACGCAAUGCUAGCUGCCCCUUUCCCGUCCUGGGCACCCCGAGUCUCCCCCGACCCCGGGUCCCAGGUAUGCUCCCACCUCCACCUGCCCCACUCACCACCUCUGCUAGUUCCAGACACCUCCACGCCCACCUGGUCCUCUCCCAUCGCCCACAAAAGGGGGGGCACGAGGGACGAGCUUAGCUGAGCUGGGAGGAGCAGGGUGAGGGUGGGCGACCCAGGAUUCCCCCUCCCCUUCCCAAAUAAAGAUGAGGGUACUAAAGUUGUCUUGGUUUUUAUUUUAUUAUUAUUUUUUUCUUUUUCCAGUAUACUAGCUUGUCUUUUAAGAAAGGGGAUAUUAAAAAAAAAAAAAGACAAAAGUGUUUUUAAAAAAAAGCAACACCCACACCUGUGUCUGUAUAUAGUCAGCUUAUCUCGUGUUCAAUCGUCUGAUCUCUACAGAGAGAAGUGGAAAAUGCUGUAUCAAGGGUGGGCUUAGCUGUGCCUUUCCAAUAAAGAUGUGAGAAGCUUC
rnacentral:lncRNA from 1 species